GGGCUCUCUUCUCUCUCUAACUAUAAAAAUGUCUCUUCUCUCUCUCGAU
rnacentral:misc_RNA from 1 species